GAUGAACGCUGGCGGCGUGCCUAAUACAUGCAAGUCGAGCGAACAGACGAGGAGGUUGCUACUUUGACGUUAGCGGCGGACGGGUGAGUAACAUGUGGAUAACCUACCUUUAAGACUGGGAUAACUUCGGGAAACCGGUGCUAAUACCGGAUACUAUGUUCAAGCGCGUGGUUCAAAAGUGAAAGAGGGUUUUGCUGUACCUUAUAGAUGGCUCCGCGUUGUAUUGGCUGGUUGGUAAGGUAACGGCUUACGAUGGCAACGAUGCGUAGGCGACCUGAGAGGGGGAUCGGCCACACUGGAACUGAGACACGGUCCAGACUCCGACGGGAGGCAGCAGUAGGGAAGCUUCCGCAAUGGGCGAAAGCCUGACGGAGCAACGGCACGUGAAUGAAGAAGGUCUUCGGAUCGGAAAACUCUCUUAGUGGGGAAAAACAAAUGUGUAAGUAACUAUGCACGUCUUGACGGUACCUAAACAGAAAGCCACGGCUAACUACGUG
rnacentral:rRNA from 1 species